rnacentral:lncRNA from 1 species
AUGGGAUUUUCCUGCCUCAAAUGGGAUUUUCUAUCCCAAAUUGGAAGUUUCCCUCCCCAAAAUGGGAUUUUCAUGCCCCAAAAUGGAAUUUUCCUAUCCCAAAAUGGGAUUUUUCCGCCCAAAAAUGGGAUUUUCCCUCCCCAAAAUGGGAUUUUCCCACCCAAAAAUGGGAUUUUCCCACCCAAAAAUGGGAUUUUUCUGCCCAAAAAUGGGAUUUUCCUGCCCAAAAAUGGGAUUUUUCCACCCAAAAAUGGGAUUUUUCCACCCAAAAAUGGGAUUUCCAUCCCCAAAAUGGGAUUUUCAUGCCCAAAAAUGGGAUUUUCCUGCCCAAAAAUGGAAUUUUUCUGCCCAAAAAUGGGAUUUUCCCUCUCCAAAAUGGGAUUUUCUAUCCCAAAGUGGAAGUUUCCCUUCCCAAAAUGGGAUUUUCAUGCCCCAAAAUGGAAUUUUCCUAUCCCAAAAUGGGAUUUUCCCACCCAAAAUGGAAUUUUCCCACCCAAAAUGGGAUUUUCCCUCCCCAAAUCGAAUUUCCCAGUCCCAAAAUCGAGUUUUCCCGAGGUAAUUUCGGUUCUGAAAUUCCAAAAAAACCCCAAAAACCUCUUGGAAAACGGAAUCCAGCGGGAUUGUGGGGUUGGAAUUUGGGAUCCCUGGGAGCAGGGAUGUUUUUUUUGGGAAUUCCACGAUCCUGAGGGAAUUUUUUGGGAAUGUUUCCCGUUUUUUUCUCCCCCCACAGUGGACGGACGGACCCCCCCCAGUCCAAUUCCAGGCCCAGAACGGCCCCACCACCAGCCUGGCCAGUCUGCUGUGAAUUCCCGGAAAAACUCCCGGAAAAUUCAUGGAAAACUCCGGGAAAACUCCGGGAAAACUCCGGGAAAACUCCAGAAUCUCCACCGACAACAUCCCAGGAAGAGAGAAAAAAACAAAACAAAACAAAAAAGCGCCAAAAACUUGGGAAAAGAAACAAAAAAAAACCGGAAAAACUUCGGAAUUCCCUCUGGUAACGAGAGAAAAACCAGGAAUUUUCCAGGAAUUUCCAGAACCUCUGGAGCUGCUUUUCCAGGUGGGAAUAUCCAGGUGAAUCCCAAGGUUUGA